UACGUAGGGCGCAAGCGUUAUCCGGAAUUAUUGGGCGUAAAGAGCUCGUAGGCGGCUUGUCGCGUCGGAUGUGAAAGCCCGGGGCUUAACUCCGGGUCUGCAUUCGAUACGGGCAGGCUAGAGUGUGGUAGGGGAGAUCGGAAUUCCUGGUGUAGCGGUGAAAUGCGUAGAUAUCAGGAGGAACACCGGUGGUGUAAACGGCUUUCUGGACCAUAACUGACGCUGAGACGCGAAGGCGUGGGGAGCGAACGGG
rnacentral:rRNA from 1 species